GUGGGGAAUUUUGGACAAUGGGCGCAAGCCUGAUCCAGCAAUGCCGCGUGCAGGAAGAAGGCCUUCGGGUUGUAAACUGCUUUUGUACGGAACGAAACGGUCCUGGUUAAUACCUGGGGCUAAUGACGGUACCGUAAGAAUAAGCACCGGCUAACUACGUGCCAGCAGCCGCGGUAAUACGUAGGGUGCAAGCGUUAAUCGGAAUUACUGGGCGUAAAGCGUGCGCAGGCGGUUUUGUAAGACAGGCGUGAAAUCCCCGGGCUCAACCUGGGAAUUGCGCUUGUGACUGAAAGGCUGGAGUGCGGCAGAGGGGGAUGGAAUUCCGCGUGUAGCAGUGAAAUGCGUAGAUAUGCGGAGGAACACCGGUGGCGAAGGCAAUCCCCUGGGCCUGCACUGACGCUCAUGCACGAAAGCGUGGGGAGCAAACAGGAUUAGAAACCCUAGUAGUCC
rnacentral:rRNA from 1 species